rnacentral:ncRNA from 1 species
UUAGAAACUUAGAAGAACUUAAUGUUCUGUGAGUAUCAGCAAUGUUUGAACACGAUGUUCAAACAAACCGCCACUGAGCCAUGGAUGGCGAAUUGGCGGUGGUUGCGUACGGAGAGAAUACAUAUAUCAGAACAUUUAGUACUUCUUAGUUUC